UCCUGGCUAACACGGUGAAACCCCGUCUCUACUAAAAAUACAAAAAAUUAGCCGGGUGUGGUGGCACAUGCCUGUAGUCCCAGCUAUUCAGGAGGCUGAGGCAGGAGAAUCGCUUGAACCCAGGAGGCGGAGGUUGCAGUGAGCCAAGAUCGCACCACUGCACUCCAGCCUGGGCGACGGAGUGAGACUCCACCUCAAAAAAUAAAAAGCUAAAAAUAAAAUAAAGUUUUUAUUCAACUGGGAAAAUCAUACUGGGAGAGGGUAACUACUAUACAAAGUUAAUUAUCUGGUCAUGAAUUACAUUUAAAAUUGUAAGGUGUGAGUGGCAAGACCAGCAAGAAGAUCACCAUUGCUGACUGUCAACAACUCUAGUAAGUUUGAAUUGUAUUUUACUUUAACCACCAGACCAUUCCUUCUGUUGCUCAGGAGAGCAGCCUUCCACCCCAUUUGCUCACAGUAUCCUAGAAUCUUUGUGCUCUCACUGCAGUUCCCUUUGGGUUCCAUGUUUUCCUUGUUCCCUUCCAUGCCUAGCUGGAUUGCAGCGUUAAGUUUAUGAUUAUGAAACAAAAACCAAAUACAAAACAAAAUGUAAGGUGCCUAUUGCUAUACAAGUUCCCUAGUUUCAAUUUAUACAUUUAUCACUCAUUUACUCAGUAAUUUAACAAUUACGUAAUUCAUGCCUAUUAAUUCCAAGGGCUUAGACUGGACCUUGAGAUAAAAAAUGAAGAAUGCAUGAGAUCUGGUAGCCUAGAAGGGAGACAAACUGGAGUGUGAAAAAUGAAGUCCUUUUCUUUUUUCUUUUUUUUUUUGAGACAGGGUCUUGCUCUAGCACCCAGGCUGAAGUGCACUGGCACAAUUUUACCUCAACCUCUGCCUCCUAGGCUCAAGUGAUCCUCUGGCCUCAGCCUCCCAUAUUAUGAACUUUUCAUUGCUAAAUUUAUUCACCAGAUUAAUAUACCACAUAACUGAAAAUAACAUAGUUCUAGAACAGAAAUUAGGAACAAAUUCACUAAAACUUUUUUUUAAUCAGUGAGGAAACUACUGUAUGAAUGUCAUUUUUUGAGUAUAUAUAGCUAUCUUUUAUUUGUAUGUUCUGGGUUUUUUUAUUCAUAGAAAAGAAAGUCCUCUCCUGAUCUGAAGGUAUGCAUUCAAACUUAUCCCCCAGGUUUCCUUGGCUGUUUGAUUUUGUCUGUAGGGUAGGGAUUUAUCCUGAGACAAUGGUCUUGCUAAGUUAGUAAAGCCAUUCCAUCACAAGUCAUUAGUACUCUAUCCAUGCCCUUGAGUUUUUCACAUGAGUUGGUUUUGAUUUUAAACAUAAUCUGAAAAAAAUUCUUCAAAUGCUUCAAAUACUCUGUGUUCAGGGGAAGACAUCAGGCCUAGCAGGAAUUUGGAUCAUGAGCAGCUUCUAGAAUCAGGCUCUGGUUAGUAGAAUCCACCUAUCUGUCUGUGUAGAGUCCUUCUAGUAGCAGCUUGGCAUGAUUCUUGCCAUGGUCCUCUGGAGCGCUGCUGUAAAAGUGAUAGCCUAAAGCCCACAGACUCCUCAGGGUUGCCUCCUUUCAUGUGAUCCGUGUAAAUAAAGUAAGAACUUGUUGAGCAUGCCCCUUGAGAGUGCUGUGAUUUAGUCAGCCAUCUGAGGUGAUACACCUAUGGAGCAUGCUAUUCCCCUAACACUUUUGAUUUAUUUAGGAUCUGUGAACUGAAUAGGUCUCAAGACCUUCCUUCAGGAUGUGAGAAAAAUAUUCUAUUCUACCACUUCUAUGAGGCACGUGCCCAACACACCAUCUUUAGCUCACAUAACUUACCAACAAUCCCAAACUAUUUCAGCAGAAGGUUGUGGUCAUAAACAGGCAAGCAAAGGUUUCCAAGUAAAGCCACCACUGUGGUGGACAUUACAGUUGGGUUCCAUAGACCCAACCUACAAAGGUCUACUUAAUAAUAAAAGGCUGUUCUUGUUUGGUUUAUUUUCAUUCAAGAAUCAUUAGUUUUUCUGACCACCAGCUUUGUAAAGUUGACUUCAAACUCUCUGAGGCCUGCAUUAUGGUCUUUGGCCUGGAUCUUUUGGAAUUUGAUGUGGUGAACAGACAAACACAAGAAGUUGCAGCCUACAGAACUGAAAAAGUGGAUCUGGAUUGUCAUGUGGGUGCCAUGGAGUUAUAGGGGUACUAUCAGUGAAGCAUGGAGAUGAUGGUGAUGGCUGUGGCUUCAGCUCCCUCUUGCAGUCCUCCUGACAAUGCCUUUUAAAAUGGAUUAACUUUUAAAAGGAUAUUUGUGCUCUCUCCUCCCACUGCCCAAGAUGCUGAAAGGAAAGAAGGCCAAGGGGAAGAAGGUGGCUUCAGCCCCUGCUGUCAUGAAGAAGCAGGAGGCCAAGAAAGUAGUGAAUCCUGUUUGAGGAAAGGCCUAAGAAUUUUGGCCUUGGACAGCACAUCCAGCCCAAAAAAGACCUCACCUGCUUUGUGAAAUGGCCCCGCUAUAUCAGGUUGUGGCGGCAGAGAGCCAUCCUCUAUAAACGCCUGAAAGUGCCUCCUGCAAUUAACCAGUUCACCCAGGCCCUGGACUACCAAACAGCUACUCAGCUACUUAAGCUGGCCCACAAGUAUAGAGACAAAGCAAGAGAAGAAGCAGAGGCUGUUGGCCUGGGCUGAGAAGAAAACUGCUGGCAAAGGGGACAUCCCCACUAAGAGACCACCUGUCUUUUGAGCAGGAGUUAACACGGUCACCACCUUGGUGGAAAACAAGAAAUCUCAGCUGGUGGUGAUUGCACACAACGUGGAUCCCAUUGAGCUGGUUGUCUUCUUGCCUGCCCUGUGUUGUAAAAUGGGAGUCCCUUACUGCACUAUCAAGGGGAAGGCAAGACUGGGAUGUCUAGUCCACAGGAAGACCUGCACCACUGUCGCCUUCACACAGGUUAACUUGAAAGACAAAGGUGCUUUGGCUAAGCUGGUGGAAUCCCGACCAAUUACAAUGACAGAUAUGAUGAGAUCCACCAUCACUGGGGAGACAAUGUCCUGCGUCCCAAGUUUGUGGCUUGCAUCGCCAAGUUCGAAAGGGCAAAGGCUAAAGAACUUGCCACUAACCUGGGUUAAAUGUACACUGUUGAGUUUUCUGUACAUAAAAAUAAUUAAAACAAUACAAAUUUUCCUU